rnacentral:rRNA from 1 species
CGACGAUCCCUAGCUGGUCUGAGAGGAUGACCAGCCACACUGGAACUGAGACACGGUCCAGACUCCUACGGGAGGCAGCAGUGGGGAAUAUUGCACAAUGGGCGCAAGCCUGAUGCAGCCAUGCCGCGUGUAUGAAGAAGGCCUUCGGGUUGUAAAGUACUUUCAGCGGGGAGGAAGGUGUUGUGGUUAAUAACCGCAGCAAUUGACGUUACCCGCAGAAGAAGCACCGGCUAACUCCGUGCCAGCAGCCGCGGUAAUACGGAGGGUGCAAGCGUUAAUCGGAAUUACUGGGCGUAAAGCGCACGCAGGCGGUCUGUCA